rnacentral:rRNA from 1 species
CCUACGGGAGACAGCAGUGAGGAAUAUUGGUCAAUGGCCGGGAGCCUGAACCAGCCAAGCCGCGUGAAGGAAGAAGGCGCCAUGCGUCGUAAACUUCUUUUGUCGGGGAACAAAGUGCGCCACGCGUGGCGUUUUGAGUGUACCCGACGAAAAAGCAUCGGCUAACUCCGUGCCAGCAGCCGCGGUAAUACGGAGGAUGCGAGCGUUAUCCGGAUUUAUUGGGUUUAAAGGGUGCGUAGGCGGUCCGGAAAGUCAGCGGUAAAAGCGCGGGGCUCAACCCCGGCGAGCCGUUGAAACUGUCGGACUAGAGAGGGCGAGAAGUACGCGGAAUGCGCGGUGUAGCGGUGAAAUGCAUAGAUAUCGCGCAGAACUCCGAUUGCGAAGGCAGCGUAGCGGCGCCGGACUGACGCUGAGGCACGAAAGCGUGGGUAUCGAACAGGAUUAGAUACCCUAGUAGUC